AUGGGCUCUGACUUACAGUGAGGGAGAUCUUAUCCCAGCUUGAUGCCAUUAAGACUCAGCUUCAGUCUAGACCCUUUGCAUCUAGUGAGCCAGCCUUUGUUCAGCCCAUUGCUUUCCAUCCUCUAACAUCAUUCUCUCAGACCAGAUCCUUCGAUCGAGGAUGAGGCUGAUCUUGUCUCACCUAUCUUGAUCUCAUGCUCGAUGUCCAGACUUAC
rnacentral:lncRNA from 1 species